rnacentral:lncRNA from 1 species
UGACAUCCGUGUGUGUCAGUUUCCCUCCCAAUUCAAUUGCCAAUGCAUGUCGUCUUCUUCUCGAAAGAUCAUCAACCUUAAUUUGAUAAAAUUCUUUCGUGCACUAUUCCUGGGAUAACUCAAAUUUAAAUAUUCAACACGCAAAAUAUGCAAAUAUGUUUUGUUUUUCAAAACGUUUUGUAGUUCUGAAGGGAUUGAUUUGCCUAAGCAACGACCAAUUCCAAGGCCAUUGGUUUUCUCGAUCCACGUGUCGAAAACGAAGGAGGCAGGGAAUACCUAGGUCUAUAACCUGGUAGCCACUUUUAUUUCGCUACAUCCGCCGCAUAGACGUCGUCAAAGAAAAACUUAAUGAUGAGGAAAUCAUUCUUGAAUGUACUGUCCCCGAGAACACCAGAUGUUUUCAGAAUCCCCUAAUAGACUCCCGACGUGAUGACACACACGACGAACGGCUUUGCAAGAAAAUCUUUCACUAUUCAAAGUGGAAGUUUUUGUCUUUUCCAUCAGAUUUUGGAGUUGUCCAGGAAAAGUUUGACGACAUUCAACUUUGUGAAAACUCUCAAAAGCAAACAAGAAAAAGUUUUCAAAUAUUGACGAAUACCAAGCAAUGAAUGGAUUUUCGAUGGUAUUGGUCUUAUUAUUCUACACGAACCCUGGACUGAUCGUACGUGGGCGUUGCAAGUACAAAAGAUAUCGCCAUUUUGUUGUUUUUGUGCGGGAAAAGACAAAAAGUUGGACGUCAUUCUAAAGAAAAGAAUGAAAUGGAUGCUGGAACAACAAUGGGUGGGCAGCUCAACACACGGAAUGACGGAUCAUCUUCGCCAUUUUGCCAGUUGAUGCAAGAAGGCUAUGCGGAAUCCUGCGAAGGAGAAAUGGAAACGAAUCUCACCGGAAUUUUUUGCUGCAGUAAAAGUCUAUCGUAAAAAAGAGGAUUGCGUUGGUGAAUUGCAUCUAAUCGAAUAAUAGGCCACACCAAAAAUGGCGUUAUGAAGCUCCAUUUUAUUUUGAUAUUUGCUGUUUUAUUCAUUCACGGCUGCUGCUUUAUCUAGCUUCGAGCAAUGUCCAUCGGGCCCGUCACAACGGAUUACUCCAUUUGCGACUGUGAGCGCGUGCGGACGUCGUCACGCGAAAUUAAAAAAAUAAGGAUUUUACAACGGCAAAAGAAGUAAUGCGGAAUGUUUUCACGCCGAUUCCUUCACGAUAUUAAUGAACUCAAAGAAAAAGCGUUUCUUAUUCAACCAGUUUCACAAGACGUUUUUCCGAUCCUCAAAUAAUUCGGUGAGUAAAAGUUUGAAUCGACUCAGUGUUGAUGAGAACUGCAGAGCCUUCAUUUUGGUGAUCGAUAAAUUUCAAAGCUUUGCACUAAAUAAUGUGCUUGAUUGAGUAGGAAAAAAAACUGCAGAUUAUUGAUCGGAAGUAGGAAGACAUUGCUGCAGCUGACGGUCUGUCGCAGCCGUUUGUCCAUUCGCAAUAAUCGUUGGUAACAUUUCAUUCCGUGAGUAGAGCUAAUAGUUUCGCAUUUAAACAAUUUGUGGAUGACAACAACAGCAUUCGACAUGAAGACAAUUGUUUGGGUUGUGUUUUUGUGCUGUGGUGUGAAAGGGACCACACAAGAUUUUUAUUGUUCGUCUGUGCAGGAAAGUAUUUUUUUUUUUUCAUCAAUAAUAAAACGUUUGCCCGGCAGUCAUUUAGUAUAAAUAGUCAAUGAGCUUUUUCGUUUUAAACUUUCUCAUUUCACGUUACGAUUGUAUAUGCCGCUAAAUUUGUUUAUUCAAAUUUUUAUUCUAGAUGGGUCCACGUCAAUCGAAUACAAAUGGAACUUCACAGAGUCCAAAAAAUGAUUUUUCCUGUUAUCGACGGGGGUCAGUCGUGAGUGAACGCGGGAUGGUCCAACAACUUUUUUCAAAUGUGACUUGUCUAGCUGAUUUGAUCGUCUGCCUAUUAUCGUGAGUCCCAUACAUCUUCGAAGCUAAAAAUUGUUGGGAAUGGAGAGCUUUGUCCAUAGACCAAUCAGUUCAGAAUUAAUGGACAACCUGAUUCGUUCAACGAAAGAAAGAAAAAAUGCAGUCACGAAAUUGUAAUUUAUAAGACAGAUCGCAGAACCAAAGUAGUUCGAAUGUAAGCGACAGUAUUUCAACUGUUGUUUUUUUCUUGCCAAAUGCAGUCGAUUGAAGAGAAAGAAACGAUUCGAUUGUUUUGAUGAUAACACAAUUGAAGCGGCUUCGGUUAUAUAAAGUAAAUAACAAAGGGAGAUUCAACGAGGGGAAAAAAACAAGUGUAACAACUUUUUCGUCCUGUUCGUUCAAUGUUUUUCCACGUGACAAAAGGCCAAAUGUGAAACCGAAUUAAAUCAAAAAUACGGUUAAACAUUUAAAGGGAAAAGACGUCACAGAUGAAACAAGUUGACAGUGUCCCCGAGGCAAUGUAAAUAAAAACAUUGCGUGUA